CACGUGGGUAAUCUACCCUCGAGUGGGGAAUAAGCUUCCGAAAGGGGGUCUAAUGCCGCAUAACGUUUCAUAACGAUGGUUAUGAAACCAAAGCCCAAAAGGCGCUUGAGGAGGAGCCUGCGUCCUAUCAGCUUGUUGGCAGGGUAAUGGCCUACCAAGGCUAUGACGGGUAGCCGGCCUGAGAGGGUGUCCGGCCACACUGGAACUGAGACACGGUCCAGACUCCUACGGGAGGCAGCAGUGGGGAAUUUUGCGCAAUGGGGGAAACCCUGACGCAGCGACGCCGCGUGGAGGAUGACGGCCUUCGGGUUGUAAACUCCUGUCAGAAGGGACGAAAUCCCGCAAGGGACUGACGGUACCUUCGGAGGAAGCCCCGGCUAACUACGUG
rnacentral:rRNA from 1 species